rnacentral:tRNA from 1 species
GAGGGUAUAGCUCAAAUAAUGGAGCACAUGCUUAGCAUACACAAGAUUCUGGGUUCAAUUCCCGGUAACUUCU